rnacentral:rRNA from 1 species
AUAUCAUUAAGCGGAGGAAAAGAAACCAACAGGGAUUGCCCCAGUAACGGCGAGUGAAGCGGCAACAGCUCAGAUUUGUAAUCCGGCCCCCCCCGCGGGGGCCCGAGUUGUAAUCUGCAGAGGGUGCCUCGGGCGCAGCCCCCCGCCGAGUUCCCUGGAACGGGACGCCGCAGAGGGUGAUAGCCCCGUGCGGCGGGCGGGCGAGCCCGCGAGAGGCCCCUUCGGAGAGUCGCGUAGCUUGGGAAUGCUGCGCAAAUUGGGAGGUAUACCCCUCCUAAAGCUAAAUACCGGCCGGAGACCGAUAGCGCACAAGUAGAGUGAUCGAAAGAUGAAAAGCACCUUGAAAAGGGGGUGACACAGUACGUGAAAUUGCUGAAAGGGAAGCGCCCGCCGCGAGACGCGCGCGCGGCCGAUCAGCGCCCCCCUCCAGGGGCGCGCACUCGGCCGCGCGCGGGCCAGCGCCGGCUCGGCUGCCGGGGCACAAGGCCGCGGGGAACGUGGCUCCCCUCGGGGAGUGUUAUAGCCCCGCGCGCAACGCCCCGGCCCGGGCCGAGGCACGCGCCCCGCAAGGGCGCUGGCGUAAUCGCGGCCGGCGGCCCGUCUUGAAACACGGACCAAGGAGUCGUCCUGGCACGCGAGUGUUUGGGUGCGAAAGCCCCUGCGCGGAGUGAAAGCAAACGCUGGUGGGAGCCUCGGCGCACCACCGACCGAUCCCGAUGUCCUCGGAAGGAUUUGAGUAUGAGCGUGCCGGGCCGGACCCGAAAGAGGGUGAACUAUGCGUGCUUAGGCUGAAGCCAGCGGAAACGCUGGUGGAGGGCCGCAGCGGUUCUGACGUGCAAAUCGAUCGUCAAAGGUGCGCAUAGGGGCGAAAGACUAAUCGAACCUUCUAGUAGCUGGUUCCCACCGAAGUUUCCCUCAGGAUAGCAGUGUCGAUCUCGGUUUUAUGAGGUAAAGCGAAUGAUUAGGGACCUAGGGGCGACUUACUGCCUUUAUCCAUUCUCAAACUUUAAAUAUGUAAGAAGCCCUUGUUACUUUGCUGAACGUGGGCGCUCGAACGUACCGACACUAGUGGGCCAUUUUU